rnacentral:lncRNA from 1 species
AAAAAAUUGUAGUAAAUGAUGAACAAAGACAGGCUCCUACAAACACUAUGGAACACUUUUACACAUGUUGUUCAUUGGAUCUGGGAUUUGGCACCACUGUCGAUACCGAGGCAGAGAGACUAUAGAGCUCUUCAGGGAAAUUUAGAAAUUCAUAAGUGAACCCCAGGAAGAAAUGCUUACCUAAUCAUUGAAGUUUAUGAAAUUCAUUGUUUGAAACAGAGCUUUAAUUCACCAAACAUACACUCUUUCAUGGUAGGCUGAAAUAUAGCUUCAUUUCUUUUCAUAAUGGAU